CUGGCUUUCAGGAGCCAAGGGGCAGACCUAAGUUGCUAGGGGCAUCCGAGGAGCUCCUUCUGGAGGACGACCUUAUGGUAAGUGUCUACUCUCCCCUUUCUUCCCUUCAGGUUGUGACAGGCAGACUCAUACAUUUUUCUCAUGUGUGGUCGCAUCUGACAUCAGAUGCUUGGGUCUUUAAGCUGUAACAGGUUAUUGCAUAGAUUUUGUGUCACACCCAAUCCAAAUCUCCCCUCCCAGAGAGAUUGUUUUUUUCCCAACACGAUACCAU